UGGGGUGGAAGAACUACUGGCAUGUGGAGAUCAGGAACUAACAUCAUCAGGCAAGUGAACAGCCUCCAAGGAAAGUUACAAUCCAAAUAACUGAAAACUGGAAAAGGAGACGUUUUCAGUGAAGAUCAUCAUAAAGAGAAGAGUGACUUCUGCUGCCGCUAAAUAUUUCUCAUUCAACAGUGGAUAAUUUCACAGAUUUCACUGGGAUGAUACACGGAAAGAGGAAGAGAGGGUGCAAAGAAUCGUAGACCACACCGUUAUAAGAAAUCAGAAAGUCCAAAGAGAAGCAAAAAUCACGAUGGCGGCUGACACGCUCCAAGCCAUAGUGUUUCGUUUCUCUGCACGUGUGUUCAAGGUAACAAAACAAGAACUGUGUAGGCAUCAUUUCCAAGACCUCCAGAAGGCAGAGAGAGAAGGUGUGAGAAAGAAGGAA